rnacentral:rRNA from 1 species
UACGAAGGGGGCUAGCGUUACUCGGAAUUACUGGGCGUAAAGCGUGCGCAGGCGGCUUAGUAAGUUGGGAGUGAAAGCCUAGGGCUCAACCCUAGAACUGCUUUCAAAACUGCUUGGCUAGAGUGCCAGAGGGGAUAGCGGAAUUCCUAGUGUAGAAGUGAAAUUCGUAGAUAUUAGGAGGAACACCGAAAGCGAAGGCGGCUAUCUGGCUGGAAACUGACGCUGUUGCACGAAAGCGUGGGGAGCAAACGGG